GACGAACGCUGGCGGCGUGCCUAAUACAUGCAAGUUGAGCGCUGAAGGUUGGUACUUGUUCCAACUGGAUGAGCAGCGAACGGGUGAGUAACGCGUGGGGAAUCUGCCUUUGAGCGGGGGACAACAUUUGGAAACGAAUGCUAAUACCGCAUAAAAACUUUAAACACAAGUUUUAAGUUUGAAAGAUGCAAUUGCAUCACUCAAAGAUGAUCCUGCGUUGUAUUAGCUAGUUGGUGAGGUAAAGGCUCACCAAGGCGACGAUACAUAGCCGACCUGAGAGGGUGAUCGGCCACACUGGGACUGAGACACGGCCCAAACUCCUACGGGAGGCAGCAGUAGGGAAUCUUCGGCAAUGGACGAAAGUCUGACCGAGCAACGCCGCGUGAGUGAAGAAGGUUUUCGGAUCGUAAAACUCUGUUGGUAGAGAAGAACGUUGGUGAGAGUGGAAAGCUCAUAAAGUGACGGUAACUACCCAGAAAGGGACGGCUAACUACGUG
rnacentral:rRNA from 1 species